rnacentral:rRNA from 1 species
AUUGAACGCUGGCGGCAUGCUUUACACAUGCAAGUCGAACGGUAACAGGGAGCUUGCUCCGCUGACGAGUGGCGAACGGGUGAGUAAUAUAUCGGAACGUACCCAAGAGUGGGGGAUAACGUAGCGAAAGUUACGCUAAUACCGCAUACGAUCUAAGGAUGAAAGCAGGGGAUUUUCGGACCUUGUGCUCCUGGAGCGGCCGAUAUCUGAUUAGCUAGUUGGUGAGGUAAAGGCUCACCAAGGCGACGAUCAGUAGCUGGUCUGAGAGGACGACCAGCCACACUGGAACUGAGACACGGUCCAGACUCCUACGGGAGGCAGCAGUGGGGAAUUUUGGACAAUGGGCGCAAGCCUGAUCCAGCAAUGCCGCGUGAGUGAAGAAGGCCUUCGGGUUGUAAAGCUCUUUUGUCAGGGAAGAAACGGGAGUGGCUAAUAUCCAUUCCUAAUGACGGUACCUGAAGAAUAAGCACCGGCUAACUACGUGCCAGCCGCCGCAGUAACAC